CUUUUACAAACAUGUGCUUGAAAAAGUAACAGUGUUUUACUAGUAUAAAGCGAAUGGAUUCUGAUCUGGUGCAGUGGGAAAAAAAUGGCCCUGAUUAGAACAUUGAAGCAGGAAUAAGACACUCUUAGGACCAAGCUGACGGAAACAGGCCCAAUAAUUGAACUGAGAGAUUUCCAAAGGGCAAGAGACUCUCAUCAAGGCAGUCCUGGUGGCUUCCUCAACCUGGACACCCUCUUUGUGGGUCUAAAUUUUGGAGCUGCAUGUUUUAUUUCACAAAGGUGGAAUAAUUGCCUCAGCACAUUCGUGCAAAAGGUACCACAAACUUAGUGACAGCAGCCUUUUACUGGAUGAAAUAUGUCCAUUUCUAGGAUGAGCAAGUUAAAGAGAACAAUCCUUUGUGAUUCCACAAAGAUUAAGAGUCCAAAAUCCUUAGGUCAGUGAUUCUCAAAUGGUGGUUUCUGAACAACAGCAUUAGCAUAUCCUGGAACUUCUUAGAAAUGCAAAUUCUAUAGCCUACCCCAGACCAACUGGAUCAGAAACUCUGAGGGGUGGGGACAGCAAGCCCUUCAGGGGAUUCUGACACUAGCUGAAGUUUGAGAACCACUGUCUUAGUAAAGGCUGAAGUUGCUCUAGCUGGUCUGUGUCAACUUUUCCAGCAUCACUGGCUGUUACCUUGAGCCCUGGAUUCUCAAAACCUCUUUCUGUCGUCUUCUGUUUCUAUUUUCUCCUGGUCCUGGCAGGUGUAUUGGCUUCGUCCUUGAUCUAAAACGUUUUAGGCCUAAUUAGGCUAGGAAGAAUGGUGUGCUCCAUGUGGCCAAUGCAGCUCAAUUUUCCUGGCCUCCACUUUGAGUUUUGGUGAUCAUGCACUACCAGUACCAUAAUACUUAACAAACUUUAUCAUUGUCACUCCAGACUCUCAACAGGGGCAGUGAUAUCUGACAUUUUUGGGUCUUUGGACAUAAUACUAUCACAACAGCACAAGCCCUCUGCUUCCACCUCACUCCACAGCCAAACCUAUUGAUGGUAUACCAGAAACCGUCUCCUCUAUCUCUGGACAGUUCUUUUCAGUCAUCUUCAAGGGAUGAUCUCCUUGUCUGUCUUUUACAACUGGCCAUGCCUUUGGUUCUAUUCUCAGCUCUCUUCUAACCAUACAUAUUCUUCCAGGUGAAGUCAUCAAUGUCUACAGUUUCAUCUAUUGCCCCUGUGUGCAGAUGGUGCUUACUCUCCCUUGUGCCUUCCAGACCUGCAUUCCAGCCACCUACCAAACCCCUUUCCUUGGAUGCCAAGAUCGAAUGGAGAUACACCAUAGGAGGAAGACAUGGCCCUGACUCUGAAAUUUGCAACCAAACUAAAAAUACAUAUCAGCAAGCAGAAAACAGUAUCCCAUACACUGAAUACUUCAAGCGUUAAGUGAACAUGGAGUAAAAUGGAAUUAUUAUUUUUGAAACAACAAAAGUCUUCAGACCGUGGACAAUGUACUUUUUGCCUGUAUUACGGAGAAAGGCGUUCCCUAGUUCUAUGAGGCAGGGUCCACAUUUGACAGAUGAGAAAACUGAGGCUCAAACAAACUAAGCGACUUGCCCAAGUUUCAACGGCUGUGAAUGCUUUGGAUAUACCACAAUUUAUUGGAACAUUCCCCAGUGGACAGACAUAUAUAUUGCUUCCAGUUUAUCAGUAACAAAAACAAAGAUGCAAAGAACACUUUUGAACAGACUUGUGCCCUGUAAUCAGUUUUGAAAAUGUUAAGCACAGAGACAUUUCCGUGAGAUCACUGAUGACUGCUCUCCUUUAUUCUGAGUCCACCAGGGAGGCUCACAGCAUGAUUCAAGGUAUUUUUAUGACUUAAUGAUGCAUAGCUAAUAAUAAUGAUGACAACAAUAAUGACAGCUGCUAUUCAGAGAGCACUAUAAGUCAGGAUGAUGACACAAGGAUUUAAUGAGUAGAAGACAACAACUUAAAACCUCUCAUUUGAGCAUGACUUGUCUAGGUUAAAGGUGGGCAUUGAGAUCCCAUUAGCUACUGGCACAAUUGCGAAAAGAAAUGUACAUAUGCACAGACACACUUUAAAGCAAGACGUCAUAAAAAUACAGCGAUGCCUGUUUCAACUCAGACCCAAAAAUGGAAUUAAAGCCAAAACUAACCCCUCUACUAAUUAGAGAAGUAAAAAUGUCGUCACCCCAAGUGUCCCAGCACAACGUGAAUCCAAAACAAGCUGCUUUCUUUGGAUUCCACUUAUUUAUUUACUUUAAAAAGAAUAUUUGAAGAAAAUGACGCCCAGUAAAAGAACAGUUGGAGAAAACAUGGGACGCCAUACAUUGGAAGAGAAAUGGAGACGGAGUACACAGUUACAACACGGUUUUUUUUUUUUUUUUCUUGUUGUAACACAUGAUAAUGGGCUAAUAAAAAUCUGGUUACCUUUA